GUUUCCGUGGUGUAGUGGUCAUCACGUCUGUCUAACACACAGAAGGUCCCCAGUUCGAACCUGGGCGGAAACA
rnacentral:ncRNA from 11 species